CUGUCUGAAUAUGGGGGGACCAUCCUCCAAGGCUAAAUACUCCUGACUGACCGAUAGUGAACCAGUACCGUGAGGGAAAGGCGAAAAGAACCCCGGCGAGGGGAGUGAAAAAGAACCUGAAACCGUGUACGUACAAGCAGUGGGAGCACGCUUAGGCGUGUGACUGCGUACCUUUUGUAUAAUGGGUCAGCGACUUAUAUUCUGUAGCAAGGUUAACCGAAUAGGGGAGCCGAAGGGAAACCGAGUCUUAACUGGGCGUUAAGUUGCAGGGUAUAGACCCGAAACCCGGUGAUCUAGCCAUGGGCAGGUUGAAGGUUGGGUAACACUAACUGGAGGACCGAACCGACUAAUGUUGAAAAAUUAGCGGAUGACUUGUGGCUGGGGGUGAAAGGCCAAUCAAACCGGGAGAUAGCUGGUUCUCCCCGAAAGCUAUUUAGGUAGCGCCUCGUGAAUUCAUCUCCGGGGGUAGAGCACUGUUUCGGCAAGGGGGUCAUCCCGACUUACCAACCCGAUGCAAACUGCGAAUACCGGAGAAUGUUAUCACGGGAGACACACGGCGGGUGCUAACGUCCGUCGUGAAGAGGGAAACAACCCAGACCGCCAGCUAAGGUCCCAAAGUCAUGGUUAAGUGGGAAACGAUGUGGGAAGGCCCAGACAGCCAGGAUGUUGGCUUAGAAGCAGCCAUCAUUUAAAGAAAGCGUAAUAGCUCACUGGUCGAGUCGGCCUGCGCGGAAGAUGUAACGGGGCUAAACCAUGCACCGAAGCUGCGGCAGCGACGCUUAUGCGUUGUUGGGUAGGGGAGCGUUCUGUAAGCCUGUGAAGGUGUGCUGUGAGGCAUGCUGGAGGUAUCAGAAGUGCGAAUGCUGACAUAAGUAACGAUAAAGCGGGUGAAAAGCCCGCUCGCCGGAAGACCAAGGGUUCCUGUCCAACGUUAAUCGGGGCAGGGUGAGUCGACCCCUAAGGCGAGGCCGAAAGGCGUAGUCGAUGGGAAACAGGUUAAUAUUCCUGUACUUGGUGUUACUGCGAAGGGGGGACGGAGAAGGCUAUGUUGGCCGGGCGACGGUUGUCCCGGUUUAAGCGUGUAGGCUGGUUUUCCAGGCAAAUCCGGAAAAUCAAGGCUGAGGCGUGAUGACGAGGCACUACGGUGCUGAAGCAACAAAUGCCCUGCUUCCAGGAAAAGCCUCUAAGCAUCAGGUAACAUCAAAUCGUACCCCAAACCGACACAGGUGGUCAGGUAGAGAAUACCAAGGCGCUUGAGAGAACUCGGGUGAAGGAACUAGGCAAAAUGGUGCCGUAACUUCGGGAGAAGGCACGCUGAUAUGUAGGUGAAGUCCCUCGCGGAUGGAGCUGAAAUCAGUCGAAGAUACCAGCUGGCUGCAACUGUUUAUUAAAAACACAGCACUGUGCAAACACGAAAGUGGACGUAUACGGUGUGACGCCUGCCCGGUGCCGGAAGGUUAAUUGAUGGGGUCAGCGCAAGCGAAGCUCUUGAUCGAAGCCCCGGUAAACGGCGGCCGUAACUAUAACGGUCCUAAGGUAGCGAAAUUCCUUGUCGGGUAAGUUCCGACCUGCACGAAUGGCGUAAUGAUGGCCAGGCUGUCUCCACCCGAGACUCAGUGAAAUUGAACUCGCUGUGAAGAUGCAGUGUACCCGCGGCAAGACGGAAAGACCCCGUGAACCUUUACUAUAGCUUGACACUGAACAUUGAGCCUUGAUGUGUAGGAUAGGUGGGAGGCUUAGAAGUGUGGACGCCAGUCUGCAUGGAGCCGACCUUGAAAUACCACCCUUUAAUGUUUGAUGUUCUAACGUUGACCCGUAAUCCGGGUUGCGGACAGUGUCUGGUGGGUAGUUUGACUGGGGCGGUCUCCUCCUAAAGAGUAACGGAGGAGCACGAAGGUUGGCUAAUCCUGGUCGGACAUCAGGAGGUUAGUGCAAUGGCAUAAGCCAGCUUGACUGCGAGCGUGACGGCGCGAGCAGGUGCGAAAGCAGGUCAUAGUGAUCCGGUGGUUCUGAAUGGAAGGGCCAUCGCUCAACGGAUAAAAGGUACUCCGGGGAUAACAGGCUGAUACCGCCCAAGAGUUCAUAUCGACGGCGGUGUUUGGCACCUCGAUGUCGGCUCAUCACAUCCUGGGGCUGAAGUAGGUCCCAAGGGUAUGGCUGUUCGCCAUUUAAAGUGGUACGCGAGCUGGGUUUAGAACGUCGUGAGACAGUUCGGUCCCUAUCUGCCGUGGGCGCUGGAGAACUGAGGGGGGCUGCUCCUAGUACGAGAGGACCGGAGUGGACGCAUCACUGGUGUUCGGGUUGUCAUGCCAAUGGCACUGCCCGGUAGCUAAAUGCGGAAGAGAUAAGUGCUGAAAGCAUCUAAGCACGAAACUUGCC
rnacentral:rRNA from 1 species